GAAAAAUUAGCGGAUGACCUGUGGCUGGGGGUGAAAGGCCAAUCAAACCGGGAGAUAGCUGGUUCUCCCCGAAAGCUAUUUAGGUAGCGCCUCGUGAAUUCAUCUCCGGGGGUAGAGCACUGUUUCGGCCAGGGGGCCAUCCCGGCUUACCAACCCGAUGCAAACUGCGAAUACCGGAGAAUGUUAUCACGGGAGACACACGGCGGGUGCUAACGUCCGUCGUGAAGAGGGAAACAACCCAGACCGCCAGCUAAGGUCCCAAAGUCAUGGUUAAGUGGGAAACGAUGUGGGAAGGCCCAGACAGCCAGGAUGUUGGCUUAGAAGCAGCCAUCAUUUAAAGAAAGCGUAAUAGCUCACUGGUCGAGUCGGCCUGCGCGGAAGAUGUAACGGGGCUAAACCAU
rnacentral:rRNA from 2 species